GAUGAACGCUGGCGGCGUGCCUAAUACAUGCAAGUCGAGCGAACGGACGAGAAUCUUGCUUCUCUGAUGUUAGCGGCGGACGGGUGAGUAACACGUGGAUAACCUACCUAUAAGACUGGGAUAACUUCGGGAAACCGGAGCUAAUACCGGAUAAAUUUUGAACCGCAUGGUUCAAAAGUGAAAGACGGUCUUGCUGUCACUUAUAGAUGGAUCCGCUCUUCAUUAGCUAGUUGGUAAGGUAACGGCUUACCAAGGCAACGAUGCAUAGCCGACCUGAGAGGGUGAACGGCCACCCUGGAACUGAGACACGGUCCAGACUCCUACGGGAGGCAGCAGUAGGGAAUCUUCCGCAAUGGGCGAAAGCCUGACGGAGCAACGCAGCGUGAGUGAUGAAGGUCUUCGGAUCGUAAAACUCUGUUAUUAGGGAAGAACAUAUGUGUAAGUAACUGUGCACAUCGUGACGGUACAUAAUCAGAAAGCCACGGCUAACUACGUG
rnacentral:rRNA from 1 species